rnacentral:rRNA from 1 species
ACGUAGGGGGCAAGCGUUAUCCGGAUUUACUGGGUGUAAAGGGAGCGUAGACGGCACGGCAAGCCAGGUGUGAAAGCCCGGGGCUCAACCCCGGGACUGCAUUUGGAACUGCUGAGCUAGAGUGUCGGAGAGGCAAGUGGAAUUCCUAGUGUAGCGGUGAAAUGCGUAGAUAUUAGGAGGAACACCAGUGGCGAAGGCGGCUUGCUGGACGAUGACUGACGUUGAGGCUCGAAAGCGUGGGGAGCAAACAG